GCCACGGGAUGCCGGCACCGGUCAGUGGUUUGCAAACCUCAGCAGGGUCUGUAAGAAUGAGGACUCAGAAGAGCCCCUUGGUCGGGUGACCUUUGAGUGGAUUCCGUGCCAGUGGAGGACGUCCCAGUCCCGUGGGCUCUACCUGGAAACCACAGGGCCGGACCCCCGUCCGCCUCCCCUCCUUUCAAGUUUGGUUCUCUGCGCCGCAGGCUGCGCUGCGGACUUGCCAGCAGGAGAUUAGGACACAGACACGCAGAGGGGGGACCCUGUGAGGACACCGGGAGACGAUGGCCGUCUAUAGACCCAGGAGAGAGGCCUUAGAAGACCCAACCUUGCCACCACUGUGAUCUCUGAUUUCUCGGAGAUGAACGGAAAUAAACUUCUGUUUAUUGUU